GAUGAACGCUGGCGGCGUGCCUAAUACAUGCAAGUCGAGCGAACGGACGAGAAGCUUGCUUCUCUGAUGUUAGCGGCGGACGGGUGAGUAACACGUGGAUAACCUACCUAUAAGACUGGGAUAACUUCGGGAAACCGGAGCUAAUACCGGAUAAUAUUUUGAACCGCAUGGUUCAAAAGUAAAAGACGGUCUUGCUGUCACUUAUAGAUGGAUCCGCGCUGCAUUAGCUAGUUGGUAAGGUAACGGCUUACCAAGGCAACGAUGCAUAGCCGACCUGAGAGGGUGAUCCGCCACACUGGAACUGAGAAACGGCCCAGACUCCGACGGGAGGCAGCAGUAGGGAAUCUUCCGCAAUGGGCGAAAGCCUGACGGAGCAACGCCGCGUGAGUGAUGAAGGUCUUCGGAUCGUAAAACUCUGUUAGUAGGGAAGAACAUAUGUGUAAGUAACUGUGCACAUCUUGACGGUACCUAAUCAGAAAGCCACGGCUAACUACGUG
rnacentral:rRNA from 1 species